GAAUUAUAGAAUCCAGUGAACCAUCGAGUCUUUGAACGUAAGUUGCACCUGAAGCCAUUAGGCUAAGGGCAUAUUUGCCCAGAUGUCAUGCAACAUCGCCAUCGCCCAUCCCCCAGCGUAGUGGAUAAUGGCUUCCCAGGAGCC
rnacentral:rRNA from 1 species